rnacentral:rRNA from 1 species
AUUGAACGCUGGCGGCAGGCCUAACACAUGCAAGUCGAACGAGUGGCGGACGGGUGAGUAAUGUCUGGGAAACUGCCUGAUGGAGGGGGAUAACUACUGGAAACGGUCGCUAAUACCGCAUACCAUCAGAUGUGCCCAGAUGGGAUUAGCUAGUUGGUGGGGUAACGGCUCACCAAGGCGACGAUCCCUAGCUGGUCUGAGAGGAUGACCAGCAAAACGGGAACUGGAACACGGGCCAAACUCCUACGGGAGGCAGCGGGGGGGAAUAUUGAACAAUGGGGGAAAGCCUGAUGCAGCCAGGCCGCGUGUAUAAAGAGGGCCUGCGGGUUGUAAAGUACUUUCAGCGGGGAGGCGUUACCCGCAGAAGAAGCACCGGCUAACUCCGUGCCAGCAGCCGCGGUAAUC